UACGGGGGAUGCAAGCGUUAUCCGGAAUCAUUGGGCGUAAAGCGCCUGUAGGUGGUUUAAUAAGUCUGUUGUUAAAGACUAGGGCUUAACCCUAGAGCAGCAAUGGAAACUAAUAAACUUGAGUAUGGCAGGGGUAGAGGGAAUUUCUAGUGUAGCGGUGAAAUGCGUAGAUAUUAGAAAGAACACCAGUGGCGAAAGCGCUCUACUGGGCCAUUUCUGACACUCAGAGGCGAAAGCUAGGGGAGCAAAAGGG
rnacentral:rRNA from 1 species